rnacentral:rRNA from 1 species
GACGAACGCUGGCGGCGUGCCUAAUACAUGCAAGUAGAACGCUGAAGAGAGGAGCUUGCUCUUCUUGGAUGAGUUGCGAACGGGUGAGUAACGCGUAGGUAACCUGCCUUGUAGCGGGGGAUAACUAUUGGAAACGAUAGCUAAUACCGCAUAACAAUGGAUGACACAUGUCAUUUAUUUGAAAGGGGCAAUUGCUCCACUACAAGAUGGACCUGCGUUGUAUUAGCUAGUAGGUGAGGUAAUGGCUCACCUAGGCGACGAUACAUAGCCGACCUGAGAGGGAGAUCGGCCACACUGGGACUGAGACACGGCCCAGACUCCUACGGGAGGCAGCAGUAGGGAAUCUUCGGCAAUGGGGGCAACCCUGACCGAGCAACGCCGCGUGAGUGAAGAAGGUUUUCGGAUCGUAAAGCUCUGUUGUAAGUCAAGAACGGGUGUGAGAGUGGAAAGUUCACACUGUGACGGUAGCUUACCAGAAAGGGACGGCUAACUACGUG